UGGGGAAUAUUGGACAAUGGGCGGAAGCCUGAUCCAGCCAUGCCGCGUGUGUGAAGAAGGCCUUUUGGUUGUAAAGCACUUUAAGCGAGGAGGAGGCUACUUGGAUUAAUACUCUAGGAUAGUGGACGUUACUCGCAGAAUAAGCACCGGCUAACUCUGUGCCAGCAGCCGCGGUAAUACAGAGGGUGCGAGCGUUAAUCGGAUUUACUGGGCGUAAAGCGUGCGUAGGCGGCUUCUUAAGUCGGAUGUGAAAUCCCUGAGCUUAACUUAGGAAUUGCAUUCGAUACUGGGAAGCUAGAGUAUGGGAGAGGAUGGUAGAAUUCCAGGUGUAGCGGUGAAAUGCGUAGAGAUCUGGAGGAAUACCGAUGGCGAAGGCAGCCAUCUGGCCUAAUACUGACGCUGAGGUACGAAAGCAUGGGGAGCGAACAGG
rnacentral:rRNA from 1 species